UUUGAAAACUGUAUAAUUCUCGCCUGUCAGACAAAAAUGUAUCUGGGAUCCGGUGCUAUCCGUCACAAAUUAACCCUUGGUCCUGUCUCUCCUGGUUGACCGACUUCCCCCUGCAAAAAGACACAGCAGUCAAACAGACAUCCACCAAAUGUUUUUGUUUUCAGAUACAGUAGAACCAGAAGCAAGACUGUGAGGCCAUGAAAGCAAAUAUUCCUUCAAACUAUUCCAAAAAACCCAGACGGUGUUAAUAGCAUUGUC